ACACGAGGAAGGAGGUGGUCCAACGCAUGCAUAGCUUUGGGACUCGUGAGGUGGCUGUCCGCUAGCCGCUGUCCCCUUAGUAAGGACUGACUGCCGAUCACCGGCUCGUCCUGAGGGUGCCCGCGCCAACGCGUGUAGGUGCACCGGAUGGCGGUCGGCGAAACCAAGGGCAGCCACCCGACCCGCGGGCGCUGGAACCAGUCCCUCCAGCACACAAAGCCCGCGGGUCGUCCCAU
rnacentral:sRNA from 1 species